GUGUCAGCAGCCGCGGUAAUACGGAGGGUGCGAGCGUUAAUCGGAAUUACUGGGCGUAAAGCGUGCGCAGGUGGUUUGUUAAGCGAGAUGUGAAAGCCCCGGGCUCAACCUGGGAAUAGCAUUUCGAACUGGCGAACUAGAGUCUUGUAGAGGGGGGUAGAGUUCCAGGUGUAGCGGUGAAAUGCGUAGAGAUCUGGAGGAAUACCGGUGGCGAAGGCGGCCCCCUGGACAAAGACUGACGCUCAUGCACGAAAGCGUGGGGAGCAAACAGGAUUAGAUACCCUCGUAGUCC
rnacentral:rRNA from 1 species